AGACAAUGGGUAGCGUCAAUUGGUUUCAAAGAGGAAAGACUCAAUGAAACAGAAGUCCUUUAACUGUCUUACAAGUGAUUGUUGUGUUUGGGUGUACCUUCACACUAAAAGAAAUGUGUUGAUGUCUACACCCUCCUCCUCUGCCCGUUUACGGUCUAUGACCAGCCCUCGCGGGGUCAUUAUGAAGUCAAAAUAAACCAAAGUAAGCGUGGUGGAUUCCAUUUUUAAAAGAGGUGCUUUCAUUUUGACAUGCUCUAUGGAUUCUGCCCCGACCAACUGGGACAAGAUCUGGAGUGGACCACUACCCUGCAGUCGAAGCAAAGGAGGAUUUUGUUCCGACCGACCUGGCCAGAUUUGAAGACUAUAUACACCAGUGCACUGUAAGCAGCCCAGCUAACUGACGUGCCUACCUGGCGGCCAUGUUGGGAAGGUCGAAGUUCCCAUCAAAGAUGGUGCAUGCAGACCCCUUUAGAUGCACUUUUAUCCUCCACGCAGGUGUUUGAAUGCAAGACUGAAUUUCAAAAGAUCAACAUGAAAAAAAGAAUAAGCUCCAUCUUUUCAGCCUGUUGCCUCUGACGUGUCAUCAGCGGCGUCCUCCUGACAACAGUUGCUCGAACACCAGUUUGUUGGGGGUGCCUUCACAGAUAAUGGAAGGUAAAUUUGGCUUUUUCCACUGUGACUGUGGCAGACUGGAUGGAGAUGAAUGUCGACUGUUUUUUUUUAAACUGAUAGAUGGGCCAGGCCAUUUGAAAUGAUGUAAAAAAAAAUAUAUAUAAAUGUAAAUGCAGAAUUGGUUGUUGGACAUAGAGCAUUUCUUUUUGCUAACUUUUAUUUUCAUUUUAUUUAGAACCAAACUUUGACAAACUACUAUGUUUGUUUCUCUGGUACAGCAAAAAUGUUCAUUGGUCAAUGUGACCCGCUGCAUGUUUAAUAGAGUUAUUUAUUUCAAUUUGAAUUGUUUCUGACUAUUGCAAAAAGUUAUAUUUGCACACAAGAAUGUAUAAAGAUGUCGAGUAUAAAUAGUUCUGCCCCCUUUGUGUCAUGUUGAGUCAUUAUAUUUACAA